UUAAAUGAGAGUUUGAUCCUGGCUCAGGACGAACGCUGGCGGCGUGCCUAAUACAUGCAAGUAGAACGCUGACUACAUUAGCUUGCUAGAGUAGAAGGAGUUGCGAACGGGUGAGUAACGCGUAGGUAACCUGCCUACUAGCGGGGGAUAACUAUUGGAAACGAUAGCUAAUACCGCAUAACAGUAUUUAACACAUGUUAGAUACUUGAAAGAUGCAAAUGCAUCACUAGUAGAUGGACCUGCGUUGUAUUAGCUAGUUGGUGGGGUAAGGGCCUACCAAGGCGACGAUACAUAGCCGACCUGAGAGGGUGAACGGCCACACUGGGACUGAGACACGGCCCAGACUCCUACGGGAGGCAGCAGUAGGGAAUCUUCGGCAAUGGGGGCAACCCUGACCGAGCAACGCCGCGUGAGUGAAGAAGGUUUUCGGAUCGUAAAACUCUGUUGUUAGAGAAGAACAAGGAUGAGAGUAGAAUGUUCAUCCCUUGACGGUAUCUAACCAGAAAGCCACGGCUAACUACGUGCCAGCAGCCGCGGUAAUACGUAGGUGGCAAGCGUUGUCCGGAUUUAUUGGGCGUAAAGCGAGCGCAGGCGGUUUCUUAAGUCUGAUGUGAAAGCCCCCGGCUCAACCGGGGAGGGUCAUUGGAAACUGGGAAACUUGAGUGCAGAAGAGGAGAGUGGAAUUCCAUGUGUAGCGGUGAAAUGCGUAGAUAUAUGGAGGAACACCAGUGGCGAAG
rnacentral:ncRNA from 1 species